ensembl:lncRNA
GUGUGUGUGUGAGUGUGUGUGUGUGUGUGUGUGUGUGUGAGAGUGUGUGUGUGAGAGUGUGUGUGUGAGAGUGUGUGUGUGAGAGUGUGUGUGUGAGAGUGUGUGUGUGAGAGUGUGUGUGUGUGUGUGUGUGUGUGUGUGUGUGUGUGUGAGAGUGUGUGUGUGUGUGAGAGUGUGUGAGAGUGUGUGUGAGAGUGUGUGUGAGAGUGUGUGAGAGUGUGUGUGAGAGUGUGUGUGAGAGUGUGUGUGAGAGUGUGUGUGAGAGUGUGUGUGAGAGUGUGUGUGAGAGUGUGUGUGAGAGUGUGUGUGAGAGUGUGUGUGAGAGUGUGUGUGUGAGAGUGUGUGUGUGAGAGUGUGUGUGAGUGUGUGUGUGUGAGAGUGUGUGUGAGAGUGUGUGUGAGAGUGUGUGUGAGAGUGUGUGUGAGAGUGUGUGUGAGAGUGUGUGUGAGAGUGUGAGAGUGUGUGAGAGUGUGAGAGUGUGUGUGAGUGUGUGAGAGAGUUGGACGGACUUGCUUUUAGAGUUUGAUUUUUGUGUAAAAGUUGCAUACCCUUCAGAUAAAAGUAGAACACCACCAAAUACGCCAACAAUACAUUUAGCGUGUCUGUUUUUCCAGACGUCUCCGACGUCCUCAGUAACGUCAGGGUCUAUGUUAAGAUGUUCAGUAGGGUAUUUCUGUUCAAGUCCCCCAGACCUGCUCGAGAACUAUUUAAACACCAGCAUCGACAUCUACUGCAUGAAUAAGUCCAAACGGCGAGAUGGUGAGAGAACCCGGAUCUCUCGAAGGCUAAUACCGGUUCCCUUAAGUGGAGCAGAGACAGCAAACUGUAUUCUGAAGAGCUAUACGUUCGUCUCGGGAGACAGGAUGGACUCGGUUAGGGCCGAGAGUCGGCGUGCCAUGAGUGAGAAUAUGAUGGAGAAUUAGAAUCUAUGUAGAUUUGAGAUUGGGGUUGCACUCACUCACACACUCGCAUAUUCACACACACUCACAUAUUCACACACUCACAUAUUCACACACACUCACAUAUUCAUACACACUCACAUAUUCACACACACAUGCUCAUUAACUCACAUAUUCACACACGCUCACUCACUCACUCACUCACUCUCAUAUUCACACACACUCACAUAUUCACACACUCACACAUUCACACACACUCACUCGCUCACUCACUCUCAUAUUCACACACACUCACUCACUCACUCACUCACUCUCAUAUUCACACACACUCACAUAUUCACACACACUCACAUAUUCACACACACAUGCUCAUUAACUCACAUAUUCACACACGCUCACUCACUCACUCUCAUAUUCACACACUCACAUAUUCAUACACACUCACUCACACACUCACAUAUUCACACACACACUCACAUAUUCACACACACACAUAUUCACACACACUCUCAUAUUCACACACAUAUUCACACACACAUACUCAUUAACUCACAUUCACACAUACACACACUCACUCACACUCAUAUUCACACACUCACAUAUUCAUACACACUCACUCACACACUCACAUAUUCACACACACACUCACAUAUUCACACACACACAUAUUCACACACACUCACAUAUUCACACUCACUCACACACUCGCAUAUUCA